UACGAAGGGGGCUAGCGUUGCUCGGAAUUACUGGGCGUAAAGGGCGCGUAGGCGGCCGAUCAAGUCGGGGGUGAAAGCCUGUGGCUCAACCACAGAAUUGCCUUCGAUACUGUUUGGCUUGAGACCGGAAGAGGUAAGUGGAACUGCGAGUGUAGAGGUGAAAUUCGUAGAUAUUCGCAAGAACACCAGUGGCGAAGGCGGCUUACUGGUCCGGUUCUGACGCUGAGGCGCGAAAGCGUGGGGAGCAAACAGG
rnacentral:rRNA from 1 species